CAGGUCUUGAGGCUGUAUCGUCACCCCCAGUCCCUGCUCCUUUCAGACACCGGCUGGCCCAUCCCAGGAACAGGUUCCUCUCUCAGAUGCGCAGACUUUGGGGAAGUGGCUUUCCCCACAGCCACAGAUAUGCAUAAGAGCUCGGUUGCUAUUUAAGUAGCCCAUUGAAGGAGCAGAUUCACCGGGCAGCAGCAUCCUGUUACAUCCAGCAUGGAGCUCCUCCAUCUCCUGGCUUCUCUCCAGAUCCUUCCCUGGCUGGUGUCACCUGCAGCCCCUCUGUCACCCCCCACGGUCAUUGUGGACCCCCAGCACCCUGUGUAUUUCCCGGGGGAGCGUCUCACCCUCAGAUGCUCGGCCCCUGGCAGGGAGGUGGUGACCAGCUACCACUUCUAC